rnacentral:rRNA from 1 species
ACUGCUCAGUAACACGUGGAUAACCUACCCUAAGGUGGGAGAUAACCCCGGGAAACUGGGGAUAAUACCCCAUAGUCUAUGGAAGCUGGAAUGCUCUAUAGUUGAAAGAUUUAUCGCCUUAGGAUGGGUCUGCGGCCGAUUAGGUAGUUGUUGGGGUAACGGCCCAACAAGCCUUUGAUCGGUACGGGUUGUGGGAGCAAGAGCCCGGAGAUGGAUUCUGAGACACGAAUCCAGGCCCUACGGGGCGCAGCAGGCGCGAAAACUUUACAAUGCGGGAAACCGUGAUAAGGGAACUCCGAGUGCCCGUAAACGCGGGCUGUCCAUCUGCUUAAAAAACAGGUGAAGAAAGGGCCGGGCAAGACCGGUGCCAGCCGCCGCGGUAAUACCGGCGGCUCGAGUGGUGGCCACUAUUACUGGGCUUAAAGCGUCCGUAGCUUGGUUGUUAAGUCUCUUGGGAAAUCUGUCGGCUUAACCGACAGGCGUUUAAGGGAUACUGGCAAUCUAGGGACCGGGAGAGGUGAGAGGUACUCCAGGGGUAGGAGUGAAAUCCUGUAAUCCUUGGGGGACCACCUGUGGCGUAGGCGUCUCACCAGAACGGCUCCGACAGUGAGGGACGAAAGCUGGGGGAGCAAACCGGAUUAGAUACCCGGGUAGUCCCAGCCGUAAACGAUGCGCGUUAGGUGUAUCGGUGACCACGAGUCACCGAGGUGCCGAAGGGAAACCGUGAAACGUGCCGCCUGGGAAGUACGGUCGCAAGGCUGAACUUAAAGGAAUUGGCGGGGGAGCAC